GAUGAACGCUAGCUACAGGCUUAACACAUGCAAGUCGAGGGGCAGCAUGGUCUUAGCUUGCUAAGGCCGAUGGCGACCGGCGCACGGGUGAGUAACACGUAUCCAACCUGCCGUCUACUCUUGGACAGCCUUCUGAAAGGAAGAUUAAUACAAGAUGGCAUCAUGAGUCCGCAUGUUCACAUGAUUAAAGGUAUUCCGGUAGACGAUGGGGAUGCGUUCCAUUAGAUAGUAGGCGGGGUAACGGCCCACCUAGUCUUCGAUGGAUAGGGGUUCUGAGAGGGAGGUCCCCCACAUUGGAACUGAGACACGGUCCAAACUCCUACGGGAGGCAGCAGUGAGGAAUAUUGGUCAAUGGGCGAGAGCCUGAACCAGCCAAGUAGCGUGAAGGAUGACUGCCCUAUGGGUUGUAAACUUCUUUUAUAAAGGAAUAAAGUCGGGUAUGGAUACCCGUUUGCAUGUACUUUAUGAAUAAGGAUCGGCUAACUCCGUG
rnacentral:rRNA from 1 species